rnacentral:rRNA from 1 species
AGAGUUUGAUCAUGGCUCAGAAUCAACGCUGGCGGCGCGCUUAACACAUGCAAGUCGCACGAGAAAGUGGAGCAAUCCAUGAGUACAGUGGCGUACGGGUGAGUAACACGUGGAUCAUCUACCUCUUGGUGGGGAAUAACCCUGGGAAACCGGGGCUAAUACCGCAUAAGCCUGCAAAGGGAAAGCAGCAAUGCGCCGGGAGAGGAGUCCGCGGCCGAUUAGCUAGUUGGCGGGGUAAAGGCCCACCAAGGCGAAGAUCGGUAGCCGGCCUGAGAGGGCACACGGCCACACUGGCACUGAAAACGGGCCAGACUCCUACGGGAGGCAGCAGUGGGGAUCUUGCACAAUGGAGGAAACUCUGAUGCAGCGACGCCGCGUGAGCGAUGAAGCCCUUCGGGGUGUAAAGCUCUUUCGACGGGAAAGAUUAUGACGGUACCCGAAGAAGAAGCUGCGGCUAACUACGUGCCAGCAGCCGCGGUAAUACGUAGGCAGCAAGCGUUGUUCGGAAUUACUGGGCGUAAAGAGUGUGUAGGCGGUGCUCUAAGUCUGUUGUGAAAUCUCCCGGCUUAACUGGGAGGGUGCGGCGGAAACUGGAGUGCUCGAGUGUGGGAGAGGUAAGCGGAAUUCCUGGUGUAGCGGUGAAAUGCGUAGAUAUCAGGAGGAACACCUGUGGUGUAGACAGCUUACUGGACCACGACUGACGCUGAGACACGAAAGCGUGGGUAGCAAACAGGAUUAGAUACCCUAGUAGUCC